rnacentral:rRNA from 1 species
GUGCCAGCAGCCGCGGUAAUACGAAAGGUGCGAGCGUUAAUCGGAAUUAUUGGGCGUAAAGAGCUCGUAGGCGGUUCAACAAGUCGGUCGUGAAAGUUCAGGGCUCAACCCUGAAAUGUCGAUCGAUACUGUUGUGACUAGGAUACGGCAGAGGUGAGUGGAAUUCCGAGUGUAGCGGUGGAAUGCGUAGAUAUUCGGAGGAACACCAAUUGCGAAGGCAGCUCACUGGGCCGCUAUCGACGCUGAGGAGCGAAAGCUAGGGGAGCAAACAGGAUUAGAUA